UCUGAAUGAGAAAAGAAGCACGCUGCUCUCCAAAAAGGCUGGAAGAUGACUGUCAACAAGGGUAUUCCACAACAGAAGAAUGAUAAUGACUGUGGAGUUUUUGUUCUGGAGUACUGCAAGUGCCUGGCAUUUAAAGAACCAUUGCAGUUCACACAAGAGGACAUGCCUAAAGUGCGUAAAAGAAUAUAUAAGGAACUCUGUGACUGCAAACUCACUGACUUACAAAAACAGGUCUAAUAUUAAUGUUGUUCACUCAUGUGCUGGUCAGUGGAUUUUCUUUGUUGUUGUCGGUCAUGAUGGAAGAGGACAUGCACUUCACGGUCGGUCAUAAGUCUGGAGAGAAUUCGUUGUUCCGGACAAGAAACUGUCUCGACAAGACUCGAGACGCCAAAACGUCAGGCUUCUGCACACGGUCAGUUUUACAUCGUCCACAGAUGACGUUAAAUGUUGGCUAUCGAAAAGGCUACUUUUAACAAUCAUGCGUGGCAACCUCAGAAAACAAUCGAGUUUUCUUUUUGUACAUUUCUUUGUCCUAAGCCUUUGCAGCUUGUUCAAUCUUUUACCCAUGUCCCAAACUAUGUGGUUCGAUCAGGUUCCUUUUCCACAAAUAUAUGCAGUGUGUGAUACACAGCAUGUAACUUGAAGGAUCUGUAUUUUAUAUUCUUGAUUGCAUUCUAUAUGCAGUACAGGCAGAAUUUGAACAAAAGGCAAGCUUUUAAAAUGAAUGUACUGUUAAAAUGAAGAACAAUGUUUGUUUUUUUUAUUUUUCUUUCAUUUCCCCACCGAACUUGACAUCUAAACAACACUUCCUUUAAAGACUUUUAUCUCAGACUGGCCAUGCUUUACUAAUGGGCCAUAUUCUUUCUCUUUCAUACUCUUUGUUAGAAGCACUCUAGACACUUUCUUUAACGCUUUAAUGUUUUUAAAAAAGCAACGUCAUCCCGACAUUUCCCGUAGCAUGUAGCUGUAAGUUCUGUUUCAACUUCCAUAGGGUGUUUUACGUUCACGGCAAACGUGGGUAUGAAAGAAUUAGGUACCUGACUGGGUCAAGUUUAGUUGUGGUUUGACGACUAAGCAAAUUAAAACCAUGUAUGUAAUUCAACCAGACAGAACAGCCUGGAUUCAUGAAGGCUCGUGUGUAUACUCCCAGAACAGUGACAGGAACUAUAUUAACGAUAGCCUUACACUUAAAAAAACAAAAAGCUUUACUGUGUGCGGAGCUGGUACAGUCAUAAUUCCAGCACAGUUCUUGUCCAUUUAUGACAGCCAGAAUGACCAACAAUUAUAAGUAAAUAUGAUUAGACAUCAAAUUGUGGGAUACUGUAUUUUCAGUUACUUGAAGUGUAACUACAAAAUUUGACCUCAGUGAAAUGCUUCUGUUUCCUUCUGUUUGACUACUAUUUGUCAUUAUUUAAACAACCAUAUAAAACCAUUAUUGUUAACAUUC